GUGCUCGCACAUAUACUAAAAUUGGAAUGAUACAGAGAUCAGCAUGGCCCUUGCACAAGGAUGAAAUGCAAAUUCCUGACACCUUCUUUAAAUUA
rnacentral:snRNA from 1 species